UGUCAAAGCUUUGAUGUCGCUCUUAUGGAAAUCAUUAAAUGCUGUCAGAGUUUUGUUUUAUUGCCCCCUGGAGGACAGAGUGAAGGGUGAGAGGAAAUCUAGUUUUCAUGAGUAUUUUUGUCAUAAACUUUGUCUUGAGAGUGGUCAUAACAAAUUCACUGACCUCACUAGUCAUGCUCUUUACUGAUGAAUAAGAAAAGAAUGUGUUCUGUACUAAGAAACGAUUCUCUGAAAAAUUUUGAACUGCUUUUUAACUUCUGCUUUUUUACAUACUAGUUCUUUUCUGAAUCAAUUGUAGGAGAGAAAUCAGUAAUAAAAAACAAGUAACAACAAAUCAACUCCUGUAUCUUAAAACCUUAAGAAAAAAUGGACCCCCUCAAACUCAGCUGCUGCCACAACUCCCACAGUGUGCUUCAGUCUGGGGCAGCGGGGCAACUGGUGGACUGUGCUGCAGUUGAUCCCUCUACCCCUGAGAAGUGUGUGUUAUGAUCCUUUAUGUUAAGUGACAAAGCAGUGUUAUCUGUGAAUCCACUCCUGAUUCAUUUUAUAUCCUUGUCACAAUGUCACUUUGGUACUUGCAAUUGAACCUUUCAUACUGUAAUCAAGUUUUUAAUUGAUCUGUAAUCAAUUUUAUAGAAGAUUGGUUGUGGAAAAAAUAAAUACAGCUAUUAAUGUCUCUGCAACAUCCUAAAAUUGCAGUUUUCAUAAAGACAUUGUUAUCAUUUGUCUUAAUUUUAAAGAAAUAGCCAUUUUUGAAAGAGUAGCAUAUAAUUAGAUAUACAAUUUAAUAUGUAGAAAUUAAACUGGAUUAUUGUUUGUUUUUAAGCAUAUUCUAAAAUAGCCUAUUAACAGAAAAUAGUCUCUAUCUACUGAUUGUCAAAGGGUAGGGAGGUGACUAGUACCAAGAUGUGUCUGAUCACUCAAAAAAAAAAUACUUAUGCCUGCAUUGGAACACAGUAAAUUAUAUUCUCUCAUAGGAAGUGAAGCCUAGGGCCAGGGAUUUAGCUCAGUGGUGCCGAAGUCUGCCUCACAAGCACAAGGUCCUGAGUUUGAUUUCCAGUACCAAAAAAAAAAAAAGGAAGUGAACCCUAUCUGUUUAUUUCUGAGGUUGAAAGUGUAAAGUUUUACUUUAUGAGCUAAAUAAUAAAGAUAAUAACAAAAAGAUAAA
rnacentral:lncRNA from 1 species